GAUAACGUAGCUCAAUGGUAGAGCAUCGCCAUUCCCGGCGUGUGUUGUUGGUUCAAGUCCAACCGUGUCUUUCUCU
rnacentral:tRNA from 1 species